CUUUUGGAUUUGGAUCAAUCAUGAUGGAUCCUUUAUAUAUGUCUUUUUUUCUAAUUCUUCUUCCAUACUCUUCAACAAUCUUCACAACCCUAAAACCAAACCCUAGAUCAACUCAACCUUUCUGGACGUCACAGCGAUUUCUCAUCUCUCUAAUCAGAUCUUCUUCCGCUAUUGAAGAUUCAUGUUAGCAAGAAGUAUUUUGAUGAUAGCACCGAAAAAAUUCUACCUGCACGUCUAUUAUAUAUGUAGUACUACAGAUUCGAUUCUGGCAUAAAUGUCCGAUUGAUGUUAACUUUUUUUGUAUUCUUAUUAAUUUUAUGGAAAUUGGUUGAUUAGAUCCGUGAUGACUGAAUGUUAAUUUUAGUGUAAAAUGUUUGAAAAUGUUUUAGUUUUUGGAUUGCACGCAAGGUGUUUGAUGAAAUGCUUGAAUGGGAUAACGGGUUUUUUUUCAUAAUUUAUGAGUUUAUAUUGAUGGUUCUCUAUGUUUGUGGUGAUUUAGUAGAGUUUUUGAUGCACUUUUUAUAGAUGAAUUCAUGUAUGUUUUGCUUAGAUCUAAAAGAUUUUAUAUUGAAGCGUCACAUUGAGUUUCAGAGACAUGGCUUCUGGAUCUUAUCAAAGAAAUUAAAGAUCUGAUUUCGGACUCCGAUAAUUCGUCAAUCAAAAGAGGUUAGUUAAGUGUUAUAGUUAUUUUAUCCUUUUUAAGUAUGUAAUAUGUAAUUUUAUCCUUUAUGUUCAUUAUUUUUUUACCUAUUAAUAUAUGUUCUGAAUGAUUUAUGGUUUGUAUUUUCUCAUGGUGAACCCUCAAUCUUUUUUGAAAUUCGGACUCGGAUUGUUAGUCUACCAAAAUAAGUUAUGUUGUUCUGAAUUUUGUAGAUCCGAUCAUAAAAUUGAAGGUAUGUUGUUUUAGUUUGUUGUUUAUCUACCGUGCAUCUUUAAUCUAAGCGAUUGAACAUUUAUAUUUUUUUGCAAACAAUAUCAAGAUCAGAGGUUUUGUUAUC